CAGGGCACCACUGAGGGUUGCUACUCGGGGUAGGGCGCCUUACCUCUCCCCUCCCUAGUGCGGCAGCCAAACUUUUCUUACCCCGGCAUCCAGUCUCACGAGAUGCAAUCGCUCGAGAGCGGCAUUCCGCGACGCUGACCGAAUCUGGAAGACUCGCCAGGCGCACUCAGUUAUGACGGUCCGGCACGAUUCCCGCAGACGGACGACACCCGACCCCCACGGAGCUCGCAGGGGAGCCGCGAGGAACUGCCGAGACAAGCCCGGCCGCACUCGCGCACCGAAAGUGAUGUCCCGGCAAACUUGCACAGCGCUCGCACGUGCUACGUACACAGCGAUGCUGCCAAUGAUCAACGUACACCUGUCUUUGGCUGAGCAGAAAACCCCGUAUACGUGUGUAGCGCCUUGAAACGUUUUGCUCGGAGAAAUCUUGCUCGUUGCUUCGUUGUUGGAACUAAUUUUCAAGACGCUGACGUUCCGGCGCCAACGUGUAUAGCUCCGCGCCACUUGCCCCCUUUCCAAGCUUUAUCUUCUCCUACUUUGUUUAAAACUUCGACAUUAUGGUGACUCAAUGCACGCCAUAAAAAAAAAACACCCAGAAGAUUAGCUCAUUUGGCGCGCUUCAU